AGUGAACGCUGGCGGUAGGCCUAACACAUGCAAGUCGAACGGCAGCACAGUAAGAGCUUGCUCUUACGGGUGGCGAGUGGCGGACGGGUGAGGAAUACAUCGGAAUCUACUUUUUCGUGGGGGAUAACGUAGGGAAACUUACGCUAAUACCGCAUACGACCUACGGGUGAAAGCAGGGGAUUUUCGGACCUUGCGCGAUUGAAUGAGCGGAUGUCGGAUUAGCUAGUUGGCGGGGUAAAGGCCCACCAAGGCGACGAUCCGUAGCUGGUCUGAGAGGAUGAUCAGCCACACUGGAACUGAGACACGGUCCAGACUCCUACGGGAGGCAGCAGUGGGGAAUAUUGGACAAUGGGCGCAAGCCUGAUCCAGCCAUACCGCGUGGGUGAAGAAGGCCUUCGGGUUGUAAAGCCCUUUUGUUGGGAAAGAAAAGCAGCAGGUUAAUACCCCGCUGUUCUGACGGUACCCAAAGAAUAAGCACCGGCUAACUUCGUG
rnacentral:rRNA from 1 species